AUUGAACGCUGGCGGCAUGCUUUACAAAUGCAAGUCGAACGGUAACAGGCCUUCGGGUGCUGACGAGUGGCGAACGGGUGAGUAAUGCAUCGGAACGUGCCCAGAGGUGGGGGAUAACGCAGCGAAAGCUGUGCUAAUACCGCAUGUGAUCUGAGGAUGAAAGCGGGGGACCAGGCAGCAAUGUUUGGCCUCGCGCCUUUGGAGCGGCCGAUGUCAGAUUAGGUAGUUGGUGGGGUAAAGGCCUACCAAGCCGACGAUCUGUAGCUGGUCUGAGAGGACGACCAGCCACACUGGGACUGAGACACGGCCCAGACUCCUACGGGAGGCAGCAGUGGGGAAUUUUGGACAAUGGGCGCAAGCCUGAUCCAGCAAUGCCGCGUGCGGGAAGAAGGCCUUCGGGUUGUAAACCGCUUUUGUACGGAACGAAAAGGCUCUGGCUAAUACCUGGGGCUGAUGACGGUACCGUAAGAAUAAGCACCGGCUAACUACGUG
rnacentral:rRNA from 1 species